rnacentral:rRNA from 1 species
UGGGGAAUAUUGGACAAUGGGCGAAAGCCUGAUCCAGCCAUGCCGCGUGAGUGAUGAAGGCCCUAGGGUUGUAAAGCUCUUUUGUGCGGGAAGAUAAUGACGGUACCGCAAGAAUAAGCCCCGGCUAACUUCGUGCCAGCAGCCGCGGUAAUACGAAGGGGGCUAGCGUUGCUCGGAAUCACUGGGCGUAAAGGGUGCGUAGGCGGGUUUCUAAGUCAGAGGUGAAAGCCUGGAGCUCAACUCCAGAACUGCCUUUGAUACUGGAAGUCUUGAGUUCGGGUGAGGUGAGUGGAACUGCGAGUGUAGAGGUGAAAUUCGUAGAUAUUCGCAAGAACACCAGUGGCGAAGGCGGCUCACUGGCCCGAUACUGACGCUGAGGCACGAAAGCGUGGGGAGCAAACA